UAGGGAAUCUUCGGCAAUGGGGGCAACCCUGACCGAGCAACGCCGCGUGAGUGAAGAAGGUUUUCGGAUCGUAAAGCUCUGUUGUAAGAGAAGAACGUGUGUGAGAGUGGAAAGUUCACACAGUGACGGUAACUUACCAGAAAGGGACGGCUAACUACGUGCCAGCAGCCGCGGUAAUACGUAGGUCCCGAGCGUUGUCCGGAUUUAUUGGGCGUAAAGCGAGCGCAGGCGGUUUAAUAAGUCUGAAGUUAAAGGCAGUGGCUUAACCAUUGUUCGCUUUGGAAACUGUUAAACUUGAGUGCAGAAGGGGAGAGUGGAAUUCCAUGUGUAGCGGUGAAAUGCGUAGAUAUAUGGAGGAACACCGGUGGCGAAGGCGGCUCUCUGGUCUGUAACUGACGCUGAGGCUCGAAAGCGUGGGGAGCAAACAGG
rnacentral:rRNA from 1 species